rnacentral:rRNA from 1 species
UUGACGGGAACCCGCACAAGCGGUGGAGUAUGUUGUUUAAUUCGAAGAUACACGAAGAACCUUACCAGGUCUUGACAUACCAUUGACAGGUGCAGAGAUGUACCCUUCUUCGGACAAUGGAUACAGGUGGUGCAUGGUUGUCGUCAGCUCGUGCCGUGAGGUGUUGGGUUAAGUCCCGCAACGAGCGCAACCCCUAUUGCUAGUUGCUAACAUUCAGUUGAGGACUCUAGUGAGACUGCCAGUGAUAAACUGGAGGAAGGUGGGGAUGACGUCAAAUCAUCAUGCCCUUUAUGACCUGGGCUACAAACGUACUACAAUGGCCAAUACAAAGAGAUGCGAAGUCGCGAGAUGGAGCGAACCUCAUAAAAAUGGUCUCAGUUCAGAUUGAAGUCUGCAACUCGACUUCAUGAAGGCGGAAUCGCUAGUAAUCGCGGGUCAGCAGACCGCGGUGAAUACGUUCCCGGGUUUU